rnacentral:misc_RNA from 1 species
UUUCCGUAGGUGAACCUGCGGAAGGAUCAUUCAUAAUAAGAGUUUUAUGGCACUUUUUUAAAUCCAUAUCCACCUUGUGUGCAAUGUCAGGGUUGAUUUUUCUCUCGAGAGGAUCAACCCCAAACAUCAACUAUAUCUCAACUCUUUGUCUGAAAAAUAUUAUGAAUAAAACAAUUCAAAAUACAACUUUCAACAACGGAUCUCUUGGCUCUC